rnacentral:rRNA from 1 species
AUACAUCGGAACAUGUCCUGUAGUGGGGGAUAGCCCGGCGAAAGCCGGAUUAAUACCGCAUACGAUCUGAGGAUGAAAGCGGGGGACCUUCGGGCCUCGCGCUAUAGGGUUGGCCGAUGGCUGAUUAGCUAGUUGGUGGGGUAAAGGCCUACCAAGGCGACGAUCAGUAGCUGGUCUGAGAGGACGACCAGCCACACUGGGACUGAGACACGGCCCAGACUCCUACGGGAGGCAGCAGUGGGGAAUUUUGGACAAUGGGCGAAAGCCUGAUCCAGCAAUGCCGCGUGUGUGAAGAAGGCCUUCGGGUU